AGGACGAACGCUGGCGGCGUGCUUAACACAUGCAAGUCGAACGAGGUCCAUCCAGUGGAAACACUGGAGAAGACCGAGUGGCGAACGGGUGAGUAACACGUGAGCAACCUGCCCCGAAGACCGGGAUAACAGCGGGAAACCGCCGCUAAUACCGGAUGUCCCCACCGGGCCGCAUGACCUGGUGAGGAAAUGGAUUCCGCUUCGGGAGGGACUCGCGGCCUAUCAGCUUGUUGGUGGGGUAACGCCUACCAAGGCAACGACGGGUAGCUGGUCUGAGAGGACGAUCAGCCACACUGGGACUGAGACACGGCCCAGACUCCUACGGGAGGCAGCAGUGGGGAAUCUUGCGCAAUGGGCGAAAGCCUGACGCAGCAACGCCGCGUGAGGGACGAAGGUCUUCGGGUUGUAAACCUCUUUCAGCAGGGACGAUUGUGACGGUACCUGCAGAAGAAACCCCGGCCAACUACGUGCCAGCAGCCGC
rnacentral:rRNA from 1 species